UGAAGGGUAUAGCUCAGUGGUAGAGUGCUUGCCUCACAUGCAUGAGGCCCUGGGUUUGAUCCCCAGCACUGCAC
rnacentral:tRNA from 1 species